GCUGCUGGUUUAUGACAGUCAGAGGCGACUUUGCUGCCAGGGUUGGGAGGGGGUGCAGAGCCCCUGGAGCAGAUAAAGGGCUGCUUUUAAUUCUGUCUCGUCUCCCGUAACGCUUUCCUUUGAGGGUAGAUUCAGGGCAGGCCUUUUUGGUUUUGAAACAGACAUAAAAAGGCACUGGCCAUGCGGCCAAAGCUGCCACCACCCCAGUUUAGGACCAUGGAGGAGAAGUGCUGGCAGGCGGGUGCGGCAGUGACCUCGGACAGCUGAGCCGGCAUCUGAGAUGAGAAGCCACUUACCAGGCUGUCUGUGUGACGACAAAGCUGCAGGCCCCAAGACAGAGAAAACCAUCUGGCAGCUGGUCCUUCUGAUAAAAGACCCAAGAAACCGCAUAGAUCGUCAAGGAGGGAGACCCGGGAGAAAACCCAGGUGCCCGCCACUCCAGCGCCAGGGCCACCGGGGUCCCCCAGAGGCACCCCAUCAGCCGUGGACCCGGGCGGGGCUGUCUCCUGCUGCCCCCGUCGCCUGGUCAGACAGACUGCGUGGAACCGCAGGUUUCACGGGACUUCGCAGGAAGGAGCUGCUGCCACAAUUCUUACAAACCUCAGGUCGUCUUCAGAAAGCAGCAUCAGGUGGGGCGUUUGGACGCACAGGAGGAGCCACACCGAUGGUCCCACAGACGGAGAGCUUGGGCCGGGCCCCAGACUGGGCCUCUCCCUAGAGGAGACCAAGAGGCAAGAAAAUGGAGGCCCCAGGGAGCCGCACACUCGAGAUGGGUGAGAAUCGAAUCCCGGUCAGCCUUGCCCUCCCACUCCAGCCGGGUCACUGGCAUCCUCACCCCCCAAAGCCCAGCAAACACCAC
rnacentral:lncRNA from 1 species